GUGGGGAAUAUUGCACAAUGGGCGCAAGCCUGAUGCAGCCAUGCCGCGUGUAUGAAGAAGGCCUUCGGGUUGUAAAGUACUUUCAGCGGGGAGGAAGGUGUUGUGGUUAAUAACCGCAGCAAUUGACGUUACCCGCAGAAGAAGCACCGGCUAACUCCGUGCCAGCAGCCGCGGUAAUACGGAGGGUGCAAGCGUUAAUCGGAAUUACUGGGCGUAAAGCGCACGCAGGCGGUCUGUCAAGUCGGAUGUGAAAUCCCCGGGCUCAACCUGGGAACUGCAUUCGAAACUGGCAGGCUAGAGUCUUGUAGAGGGGGGUAGAAUUCCAGGUGUAGCGGUGAAAUGCGUAGAGAUCUGGAGGAAUACCGGUGGCGAAGGCGGCCCCCUGGACAAAGACUGACGCUCAGGUGCGAAAGCGUGGGGAGCAAACAGGAUUAGAUACCCGAGUAGUCC
rnacentral:rRNA from 1 species